rnacentral:rRNA from 1 species
GACGAACGCUGGCGGCGUGCUUAACACAUGCAAGUCGAACGGAAAGUGCUCUUCGGAGUGACUCGAGUGGCGAACAGGUGAGUAACACGUGGGUAAUCUGCCCUGCACUUUGGGAUAAGCCUGGGAAACUGGGUCUAAUACCGAAUAGGACCACGCGCUUCAUGGUGUGUGGUGGAAAGCUUUUGCGGUGUGGGAUGGGCCCGCGGCCUAUCAGCUUGUUGGUGGGGUAAUGGCCUACCAAGGCGACGACGGGUAGCCGGCCUGAGAGGGUGACCGGCCACACUGGGACUGAGAUACGGCCCAGACUCCUACGGGAGGCAGCAGUGGGGAAUAUUGCACAAUGGGCGCAAGCCUGAUGCAGCGACGCCGUGUGUGGGAUGACGGCCUUCGGGUUGUAAACCUCUUUCGCCAGGGACGAAGCGCAAGUGACGGUACCUGGAGAAGAAGGACCGGCCAACUACGUGCCAGCAGCCGCGGUAA